GCAGGGGCGGCAUGCCUAUACAUGCAGUCGAACGAACCAUCCUGAUGAUUGAAGCUUGCUUCAUGAUUCAGACCUUGGUGAGUGGCGGACGGGUGAGUAACACGUGGGUAACCUGCCCAGAAGUGGGGGAUAACAUUUGGAAACAAGUGCUAAUACCGCAUAACAACUUAGAUCACAUGAUCUUUGUUUAAAAGAUGGUUUUGCUAUCUCUUCUGGAUGGACCCGCGGCGUAUUAGCUAGUUGGUGAGGUAAUAGCUCACCAAGGCGAUGAUACGUAGCCGACCUGAGAGGGUAAUCGGCCACAUUGGGACUGAGACACGGCCCAAACUCCUACGGGAGGCAGCAGUAGGGAAUCUUCCACAAUGGACGAAAGUCUGAUGGAGCAAUGCCGCGUGAGUGAAGAAGGUUUUCGGAUCGUAAAACUCUGUUGUUGAAGAAGAACAUAUGUGAGAGUAACUGUUCACGUACUGACGGUAUUCAACCAGAAAGCCACGGCUAACUACGUGCCAGCAGCCGCGGUAAUACGUAGGUGGCAAGCGUUGUCCGGAUUUAUUGGGCGUAAAGAGAAUGUAGGCGGUUUAUUAAGUUUGAAGUGAAAGCCCUCGGCUCAACCGAGGAAGUGCUUCGAAAACUGGUAAACUUGAGUGCAGAAGAGGAAAGUGGAACUCCAUGUGUAGCGGUGGAAUGCGUAGAUAUAUGGAAGAACACCAGUGGCGAAGGCGGCUUUCUGGUCUGUAACUGACGCUGAGAUUCGAAAGCAUGGGUAGCAAACAGGAUUAGAUACCCUGGUAGUCCAUGCCGUAAACGAUGAGUGCUAAGUGUUGGAGGGUUUCCGCCCUUCAGUGCUGCAGCUAACGCAUUAAGCACUCCGCCUGGGGAGUACGAUCGCAAGAUUGAAACUCAAAGGAAUUGACGGGGGCCCGCACAAGCGGUGGAGCAUGUGGUUUAAUUCGCAGCAACGCGAAGAAUCUUAUCAGUUCUUGACGUACCAGGACAAGCUAAUGUUGGGUUAAGUCCCACAACGAGCGCAACCCUUAUUAUCAGUUGCCAGCAUUCAGUUGGGCACUCUGGUGAGACUGCCGGUGAUAAACCGGAGGAAGGUGGGGACGACGUCAAAUCAUCAUGCCCCUUAUGACCUGGGCUACACACGUGCUACAAUGGUCGGUACAACGUGCUGCGAACUCGCGAGGGCAAGCAAAUCACUUAAAACCGAUCUCAGUUCGGAUUGUAGGCUGCAACUCGCCUACAUGAAGCUGGAAUCGCUAGUAAUCGCGGAUCAGCAUGCCGCGGUGAAUACGUUCCCGGGCCUUGUACACACCGCCCGUCACACCAUGAGAGUUUGUAACACCCAAAGUCGGUGGGGUAACCCUUCGGGGAACUAGCCGCCUAAGGUGGGACAAAGAUUAGGGGAAGUCGUAACAAAGG
rnacentral:rRNA from 1 species